rnacentral:misc_RNA from 1 species
AUGCCCACAUCCGCUUCUGUAUUCCGUCCAUAUGCUCGCAUGGCACGUCACACAUAGCGCCCGCAGGGACGCGCACACUCCCUCGUACACGAUACUCACGUCAACUCCCUCUGCCAUCACUCGCUUAAACAUCUGCUACACACUAACUCACGCAUACCACCCGAUUCCCCGCCACCACUCAGGGCACUGUCUCAAGCCUGUGACUCGGGUUUCGGGGUCGGCGACGAGCCCGUUCAAAGUGCGUGAUGUUUCAGCGACGUGGCCCGAGGCCAAACGACGCCAUCCACAGCGAGUGCCACAGCAACCUGCGCAUGGCAAGCGUGCCGCACACCUUCACCGGCAAGUCUGCGGAGUAUUGCCGCCUUUUGGUGGCUAAGCAUGGCGCGCUGUCCCGCGCUGGCGUGCGUCAUGCGCCACGGCGGCAGCGCGCUCCCGGGGCGGUGUUUCCCCGGCCGCCUCGCCGCGCCGCCCAUUCCUUUCGCGGGCGGCGGCCCGUUCGCCGCAGGGCCACCCCUGGCCCCCCCGCGCGCGGGGGUGGCGGGCACUUCUGGGCCCUCGCCAGCCCCGCGAAAGGGGGGGGGGCGCCGCUUCCGCCCGGCCGCACCGGCUUUCCCGCCGCGGGGGCUGCCAAAGACCAAGGACGGCGCCCCCCCCGAAACAUCCCCCCUGACACCCCCAUGGACCCUCCCCCCUUCUCCUCCAAAUUCUCAG